UGGGGAAUAUUGGACAAUGGGCGAAAGCCUGAUCCAGCCAUGCCGCGUGUGUGAAGAAGGUCUUCGGAUUGUAAAGCACUUUAAGUUGGGAGGAAGGGCAGUAAGCUAAUACCUUGCUGUUUUGACGUUACCGACAGAAUAAGCACCGGCUAACUUCGUGCCAGCAGCCGCGGUAAUACGAAGGGUGCAAGCGUUAAUCGGAAUUACUGGGCGUAAAGCGCGCGUAGGUGGUUCGUUAAGUUGGAUGUGAAAGCCCCGGGCUCAACCUGGGAACUGCAUCCAAAACUGGCGAGCUAGAGUACGGUAGAGGGUGGUGGAAUUUCCUGUGUAGCGGUGAAAUGCGUAGAUAUAGGAAGGAACACCAGUGGCGAAGGCGACCACCUGGACUGAUACUGACACUGAGGUGCGAAAAGCGUGGGGAGCAAAACAGGAUUAGAUACCCUGGUAGUCCACGCCGUAAAACGAUGUCAACUAGCCGUUGGGUUCCUUGAGAGCUUAGUGGCGCAGCUAACGCAUUAAGUUGACCGCCUGGGGAGUACGGCCGCAAGGUUAAAAACUUAAAGGGAAUUGACGGGGUCAUAGCUG
rnacentral:rRNA from 1 species